GAUGAACGCUGGCGGCGUGCCUAACACAUGCAAGUCGAACGGAGUUACUUUGGUGAAGUUUUCGGAUGGAUCUGAUUUAACUUAGUGGCGGACGGGUGAGUAAUGCGUGAGCAACCUGCCCUUCAGAGGGGGGACAACAGUUGGAAACGACUGCUAAUACCGCAUAAUGUAUUCGGAAGGCAUCUAAAGAGAACGAAAGAUUUAUCGGCAACGGAUGGGGAUGCGUCUGAUUAGGUGUUGGCGGGUAACGGCCCACCAAGCCCACGAUCAGUAGGGGUUCUGAGAGGAAGGUCCCCCCACAUUGG
rnacentral:rRNA from 1 species